rnacentral:rRNA from 2 species
UGGCGGCUGUAGCGUGGUGGUCCCACCUGACCCCAUGCCGAACUCAGAAGUGAAACGCCGUAGCGCCGAUGGUAGUGUGGGGUCUCCCCAUGUGAGAGUAGGGAACUGCCAGGCA